UGGGGAAUCUUAGACAAUGGGCGCAAGCCUGAUCUAGCCAUGCCGCGUGAGUGAUGAAGGCCUUAGGGUCGUAAAGCUCUUUCGCCAGAGAUGAUAAUGACAGUAUCUGGUAAAGAAACCCCGGCUAACUCCGUGCCAGCAGCCGCGGUAAUACGGAGGGGGUUAGCGUUGUUCGGAAUUACUGGGCGUAAAGCGCACGUAGGCGGAUCAGAAAGUUGGGGGUGAAAUCCCAGGGCUCAACCCUGGAACGGCCUCCAAAACUCCUGGUCUUGAGUUCGAGAGAGGUGAGUGGAAUUCCGAGUGUAGAGGUGAAAUUCGUAGAUAUUCGGAGGAACACCAGUGGCGAAGGCGGCUCACUGGCUCGAUACUGACGCUGAGGUGCGAAAGUGUGGGGAGCAAACAGG
rnacentral:rRNA from 1 species